GACGAACGCUGGCGGCGUGCUUAACACAUGCAAGUCGAACGGGAGUAUUGAAGAAGCUUGCUUUAGAGAUACUUUAGUGGCGGACGGGUGAGUAACGCGUGAGGAGCUGUCCGAUGCAGGGGGACAACAGUUGGGAACGACUGCUAAUACCCCAUAAGCCGAGAGGUAAAAGGAUUUAUCCGGCAAUGGAGGUACUCGCGUCCUAUCAGCUAGUAGGUGAGGUAACGGCUCACCUAGGCGAAGACGGGUAGCCGGCCUGAGAGGGCGAACGGCCACACUGGAACUUAGAUACGGUCCAGACUCCUACGGGAGGCAGCAGGGGGGAAUAUUGGGCAAUGGUGGGAACCCUGACCCAGCGACGCCGCGUGGGUGAAGAAAUCCUUCGGGAUGUAAAGCCCUGUUGUAUGGGAAGAGCGGAAGACGGUACCAUACGAGGAAGCCCCGGCAAACUACGUGCCAGCAGCCGCAGUAA
rnacentral:rRNA from 1 species